AGGAUGAACGCUAGCGGGAGGCCUAACACAGGCAAGCCGAGCGGUAUAGAUCUUUCGGGAUCUAGAGAGCGGCGUACGGGUGCAGGAAACACGUGUGCAACCGGCCUUUAUCCUGGGGGAUAGCCUUUCGAAAGGGAGAUUAAUACCCCAUAAUAUAUCAGAUGGCAUCAUUUGAUAUUGAAAACUCCGGUGGAUAGAGAUGGGCACGCGCAAGAUUAGAUAGUUGGUGAGGUAACGGCUCACCAAGUCUACGAUCUUUAGGGGGCCUGAGAGGGUGAUCCCCCACACUGGUACUGAGACACGGACCAGACUCCUACGGGAGGCAGCAGUGAGGAAUAUUGGACAAUGGGUGAGAGCCUGAUCCAGCCAUCCCGCGUGAAGGACGACGGCCCUAUGGGUUGUAAACUUCUUUUGUAUAGGGAUAAACCU
rnacentral:rRNA from 1 species